UGUUUUUUUUUUUUAUUUUAAUGUCUUACUGCUCUCCUUGUCUUGGUUUCAGCCUGGUUAGGGUUAAUAGUGCACUGAUGUUUGAUUGUUGCUGAGCGAUGGAUGUGCUGGCUGCCGCCAUGAUGGUGUGGAGCAGUGGAGCCAUGCAAGGCCACGUGCAGCCCAUAGGCCAAGGGUUGGAUGCGUCUGCAUUAACCUAUCUGACAUACAAAGACUAGGGCUUUGGAAGUCAGGAAAACAGUGCCUUAUUUGGAUGAUGGCAGCAGCAGAUAUCUUUUAUUUUUUUUUCUGAUAUUAAAUUGCAAGCUUUUUGGAUGAAUAAAAAUUACCCUUUGUGACAGGGCGAGGGCCUGUGAGCUCAGUGAGCUUGUUUUCACAGUAAUGCAUCACCUGCACUUGCAAAAAGAUAAAUGGUGUAAAUUAUCUACUGUGUAACAUAAGCAGAUUUAUAACAAAAUGUGUUCUAUCUUUGGUGAACAUGCUGCAACUGAAACCACAAUGAUACAUCUUUAUGAUCAUGAAUAUGGAAUCAGCAGCUGAAAUGGGCCUUCAGUACUGUUAUGAAUGUUUAAAAGCAUUGGCGCCACAUAAAAUUACAUAUAUAUUGGGAUACUUAUCUUUCAUUCCAAUGCACAGCUUUGAAGUGCUGGGGAACAGAGGUCUGGGGUGGAAAGGCACCUAUUGUAGAUGACUGGGAGCAGACUGCUAUUGCCUAGAUGCAUAGUGUGGAGAAGGAGUGGACCUGAAAAGAAGUGACGAAGAGUACACUGGCAAUAAUUAUCAGCUUCAUGAAGUACAUUUUCUCACUAUAACAAAAGCAACAUAUUUGAGAUUGAAUAAUUGAAUUACCUCCCUGCAGCUGUCAUAGGCCAUUUGGCGCACAACUUUUGAAAGGAACAAUGACAGUAUAAUUAUGGCAGUUUUCUUUGAUUCCACUUGUCUCAUGGAGUGAGUUAGUGCAUUCUUCAUUUGGCCACAUGUGUGCAUGCCUUUUAGUAUCCAUGGGUGUUACUUCAAUGAGAUUUGUCUAUUUAAAUAUAUAAAACAUUUGUUUAUGUUUUGUGCUGAAAUUGUUUCAUUUGCUGUAAUGGUUUUAGCAGAAUGAUGGGAAAGCUUUCCCAUCUCCCUCCUCCUUAAAAAACAAAACAGAAACAAACAAAACAAACAAACAAAAAAACAACCUGUCCUUUAAUCUCCUCUGUGGUUUAGAGCUUUGGCCACACAGGUAUGAUAGGGGUUGUAGCUUGCAUAUACCUUAGGUCCCAGAAGCUGCAGUAUUUUGGUUUGCUACAGCUGGAGUUCACAGUUGUGGAUUCUUUUUUCCUGUACUGAUUUCCAAUGGACAGCAUUGGGGUUUACUGGCAAGACUUCUGUUCAUAUUAGUGGAGACUUCAAAACUCAACCUGAAUCCAUAAAAAAUUCUAUAGAAAUGGCUCUUCUCAUCACACUCUAUGUGAAAUAUAAAAAUAUUGCCUUCUAAAGAUAAGUUCUGUGAUCUAGAGACUAGCUCAUGGCAAAGAAAUAACACUGUUUUAUUUUCCUUUUCUGCUCCAUUCUUCUUUCAUAGAUAUUUGGUAGAAAUCAGGUCUUUGGGCGGGG
rnacentral:lncRNA from 1 species